rnacentral:tRNA from 2 species
CGGGGCGUGGCGCAGCCUGGUUAGCGCACCUGCUUUGGGAGCAGGGGGUCGGAGGUUCAAAUCCUCUCGCCCCGA